CGUAGGAGACAAACGUUAUCCGGAGUUACUGGGCGUAAAGGGCGUGUAGGUGGUUUCGUAAGUCUGGCGUGAAAUUUUUCGGCUUAACCGGGAAAGGUCGUCGGAUACUGCGGAACUAGAGGACGGUAGAGGCGUGUGGAAUUCCGGGUGUAGUGGUGAAAUGCGUAGAGAUCCGGAGGAACACCAGUGGCGAAGGCGACACGCUGGGCCGUACCUGACACUGAUGCGCGACAGCAUGGGGAGCAAACAGGAUUAGAAACCCUGGUAGUCCAUGCCGUAAACGAUGCUAGCUGGGUGUUCAGGGGGGGAAACCCCUCGGGGUACCGAAGUCAACACGGUAAGCUAGCCGCCUGGGGAGUACGGUCGCAAGAUUA
rnacentral:rRNA from 1 species